rnacentral:tRNA from 2 species
AAGAUAUUAGUAAAAACGUUGAUUACAAUACUUUGUCAAAGCAUAGUCGUAGGUUAAAUCCCUGCAUAUCUUA